UUUCCUCUUACCAAUAUCAAGGGAAGUGCCUUCCUUUUACCCACCCACAAUUUUUUUGAAUGGGUCAAGUGUUGGAAUUACUGUAUAGUUCUUAAAAAACUUUGGUGAAGCUUCUCCCUCUUUACUUUCCAAGGAAAAAACUCAGAUCUUUCCCACCCAGACUUCUUUUCAAUGGGCUAAGUGUUUUUUAGUCUCCAGUUCCUGGAAACUUCAGUGAAGUUUCUCGCUAUUUUCUUUCCCGAGAAAAUGCACUCCUUUUCCCAACUAGAAAUACCAAUGGAAAAUGGAUCAUCGAUCAUCUUCCCUCCAUUCUUGGCCGUAAACCUAUUGAUUUUGGAGGACAGGAAAGGAAAGCAUGGAGGUCAACACUAAGUUCAUGGUUGCAAGAUUGAUGAUGGUGAAGGAAUUUAUGAAGUACAAGAAGCUCAAUCACCAAUAGCUACUAGGUCGAUGGCAUCAAUCUGCCCUUCAUUUUUCAGAACAACUAGACAGAGGAUAUUUGAUGAAAUGAUUAAGCCCCAUGUGGCAUUGUGCUCAAUCAUAUGCACACCCAGUGCAGUUUUUCAAAGAAAGAAGCACUCUUUAUCAUCAGCCAUGAUUGCGAACACAACAACCAGGGAAGAGAAGGCGAAGGAGCAAUCGGAGGAGUCUAAAGAAAAUCAUGUACUUGAACUGUUGGGUUCCCAGCUAAUCAAUCAUCAACCCAACAACUACCAAGGAAGAAACAAAAAAUAAUUUCAACUUUGAAUGUACCAAAACAAACAUUGAAAUGUAAAUAUGGAAUAGAAAUUUGUGAUCUAUAUUAUAUCUGAAUUUGGGAGAUGAGUUUUAGAGAUAAAAAGUACGAAAAGUUAUUUGGUUUGAUUUUUUUUAAAAGAUGUUUUGGAAAAUUAUUUUGAGAGAGAGUUUUGAAAAAAGUGAUUGAUUUGAUGUGUAUG